AUCCAGCCGAUGAGUCCCAAAUAGGACGAAACGCACGUUCUGGAU
rnacentral:hammerhead_ribozyme from 1 species